CCCGAACUCCACGGUAUUAGGCGGAAUUUCCCACGUCCUAUUUGAAGAGGGGAAGACUUUGCUAGCCUGAAGGGCUGCCUUUGAUCUCAAGGCUCUUCAGGCGAAAAGCAGAGCUGCACUGCCAUCCCACCAGAGGCCUUCCGGUCAGCCUCAGCCACAGUCUUUGACCAGGAGGGCCACUUCCAGCCUUGAAUUGAGAGGGGAAAAAACCAGGUUUCUCCAGGCUACAAAACCAUGAAAUCCAUUUACUUGCCUCUUCAGUGUUGAUUUAAGAAUUACAGGUUCCUCUUUAUUUAACAUGUUCUCAGAGCAGUUAACAAGAUCAUAAUUUAGCAGUAAACAGUACAAUAAAGUGAGUCCAUUGGCAAGGAAACAGGACAUUUCGGGCACACAAGUCAGAGCAACACUCAUUCGCCUCUGAUCCAAAGGCUAUGCUGAAUGGGGGGGGGGGGGGACGUUUGGCCAGUCUAGCAGGUGGCACAAAUCACCUGAAGUGCACAACUGCACAACAAUGGCAUCACCUCCUGGGAUGCAGUCGUGUAAAACUCAGCCAUCGGUGCCUUAGUGAACAAAUUACAUUUAAGAAAAAGCAUAGCACCGCAAACAGAUUCACAUGAAGGGUCGCUUGACCCAAUGUUCAAAGGGGGCAUUACUCCCAAGACUGACAAAGUUAAACACAAAGGGGAAUGUUCUGACUUAAUUAGUUAACGAGAAGGAUGUUCAGUUUAAACUCUCCCACAAGCUGUGGAAUUUCUGCAACAGCUCACUAUUGUGGCUGGGUGUGAAGCACAGAUCUAUCAUCCAUCCAUCCAUCCACUUACAGGCUGCCCAGCUGCAUCAGAAUCUGGACGCCUGUAACAUUAAAAGCAGGAAAAAAUAACACAAUGAGAACACAGAUUAAACAUAUCCAAAAAAAGAAGGAUACAGGUUGUUUUUGUGAACUAGGGGACUUUUAUGACCAGGCCUUACAGAUCUACAUCCCUGCAGUCACGUGGUCACAAUUCAGGCACUUAAAGGUAAAGGUUCCUCUCACACAUAUGUGCUAGUCGUCCCCAACUCUUGGUAAGUGGCAAUCACAGACUUUACUGCAAUUAUGAGAGUUGCAGAUAUCUUUCAUAUCCAAAUCAAAUAACUCCUCUUCUACCAUAUGACCCUUCCAUAUGGAUUGGAUCAAAAUGCUCAAUUAUUCAUUAAAUUUAUAUGCCACUUACUAUCCAAAUUCCCUAGAUUGCAAGGGAAAGGUUAAUGGCUUCCAAAAAAGAAAUGAACGCCUAGAUUCAACCAGUUUUUGCUUCUACUGAAUGGAAGCUUCAGUGCUUCGUUUGAAGCAUAAGCCUCAUUAUUAUCUUGGGGGUUACAAAAAGGGAAGUAUAAACCAAAAGAGGAAAAUAAUACAGAAUCAAACAGAAAAAAUACAACAGAUGGCUACUUCAUUUGGAAAAUGUUAACUUCUGAUUAGUGCCAUGGAGGACACUAACCACAGAAAGGCUUUAACAAUUGUUUGGGAAGCAAAGAAAAUGGUUGCUAAGAAAAAGGUGCAUGUUUUGCUGAUAGUUGUGGGAGAUAAAGAGAUUUUAUUGAAAAGCUUAAAGC